GGAGAGGUAGCGAAGCGGCCGUAACGCGCCCGACUCGAAAUCGGGUUAUCGGUUAGUCCCGAUACGUGGGUUCGAAUCCCACCCUCUCCGCCA
rnacentral:tRNA from 2 species